GACGUAGGGCGCGAGCGUUGUCCGGAUUUAUUGGGCGUAAAGAGCUCGUAGGCGGCUUGUCGCGUCGAAUGUGAAAUCUCAGGGCUCAACUCUGACAUUGCAUUCGAUACGGGCAGGCUCGAGUUCGGUAGGGGAGACUGGAAUUCCUGGUGUAGCGGUGAAAUGCGCAGAUAUCAGGAGGAACACCGGUGGCGAAGGCGGGUCUCUGGGCCGAUACUGACGCUGAGGAGCGAAAGCCAGGGGAGCAAACGGG
rnacentral:rRNA from 1 species